AUGAUCGACGUUCUCCUUACUGAUUGAGAUGAUGAAGCGAGGUUAGGUGA
rnacentral:snoRNA from 1 species